rnacentral:snRNA from 1 species
CUUGUUUCAGCAGAACAUAUACUACAAUUGGAAUGAUACGGAGAAGAUUAACAUGGUCCCUGUGCAAGAGUGACACACAAAUUUGUAAAGUGUUCCACAUUAAA